AUGGCAGAUGUCUCUGUCCCUACCUGCUCCCUGUCCAUUUCCAGCCACACGGAGAGAACAGUGUCAUGAGGACAAAGGCAUUAAAGCAGACAUUUGAGAUGAGUAGUGCAUUCAUUACAGACUUGCUGAAGGCUGCAGAACAAUUAAGGCACGUAAAGGAGUAAUGAAGCUCCCUCACCCUGUGUGACCCUAUCAGACUGCAACUCCUGACUGUCAGAGGUGGAAGCUGCCAGAUACAAUCCAACUUCAUAUCCUAGCCUCAGAAGUUGAAUCAUAAAGGAUCUCACGUCAGACUGGGGUUUUCUCUGUGAUGGUGAAAAACACGCGGUUUUACAGCAGCUCUGUUAGGAUCUGCUUUAUUCCCUCCUCUCCCCCCAAAAAACAAUUAAGUUUCCCUUAUUCAAUCACCUUUAUGUUGUAUUUCUCCAAGAUGAGUUUUGCCAAUUUCAUGAAAUUUAAGGAGAGUCUUCAGUUUGAGAUAUCACUGACUAUCCUAGAAAUGAUGGUUUCAUAUCAUAAAAAGAUUGGCUGUGAUGACUUGAAAACUUCCAUGUAGCGUCUACAAGUGUUUUCCAGAUCUACAUACCACUCGACUGCUCUCCUUCAUCGAUCAACCCUUUGGAAGGAAGGAGAAUAUAGCACAUUCUUGGGAGUAAAGAAGUCGUCGAUAAAUGUUUAGGUGAUAGACAUGCUAACUCUUCUCAUUAGAUCAUUAUACAAUAUAUGCAGGUAUCAAAACAACAAACUCU